CCUACGGGCGGCAGCAGUAGGGAAUAUUGCGCAAUGGGCGCAAGCCUGACCCAGCAACGCCGCGUGAGGGAAGAAGGCCCUCGGGUUGUAAACUUCUGUUGUCAGGGACGAAACAAAUGACGAUACCUGACGAAUAAGCCACGGCUAACUACGUACCAGCAGACGCGGUACUACGUAGGAGGCAAGCGUUAUCCGGAUUUACUGGGAGUAAAGGGCGUGUAGGCGGGAGAGCAAGUCAGAUGUGAAAUUCCAGGGCUCAACCCUGGAACUGCAUUUGAAACUGUUUAUCUUGAGUGAUGGAGAGGCAGGCGGAAUUCCGUGUGUAGCGGUGAAAUGCGUAGAUAUACGGAGGAACACCAGUGGCGAAGGCGGCCUGCUGGACAUUAACUGACGCUGAGGCGCGAAAGCGUGGGUAGCAAACAGGAUUAGAUACCCUAGUAGUC
rnacentral:rRNA from 1 species